UGGGGAAUAUAGCACAAUGGGCGCAAGCCUGAUGCAGCCAUGCCGCGUGUAUGAAGAAGGCCUUCGGGUUGUAAAGUACUUUCAGCGGGGAGGAAGGUGUUGUGGUUAAUAACCUCAGCAAUUGACGUUACCCGCAGAAGAAGCACCGGCUAACUCCGUGCCAGCAGCCGCGGUAAUACGGAGGGUGCAAGCGUUAAUCGGAAUUACUGGGCGUAAAGCGCACGCAGGCGGUCUGUCAAGUCGGAUGUGAAAUCCCCGGGCUCAACCUGGGAACUGCAUCCGAAACUGGCAGGCUUGAGUCUUGUAGAGGGGGGUAGAAUUCCAGGUGUAGCGGUGAAAUGCGUAGAGAUCUGGAGGAAUACCGGUGGCGAAGGCGGCCCCCUGGACAAAGACUGACGCUCAGGUGCGAAAGCGUGGGGAGCAAACA
rnacentral:rRNA from 1 species